rnacentral:rRNA from 1 species
GCUCGAAAGAGAGCCGUAACACAGGUGCUGCAUGGCUGUCGUCAGCUCGUGUCGUGAGAUGUUGGGUUAAGUCCCGCAACGAGCGCAACCCUUGUCAUUAGUUGCUACAUUCAGUUGGGCACUCUAAUGAGACUGCCGGUGACAAGCCGGAGGAAGGUGGGGAUGACGUCAAGUCCUCAUGGCCCUUAUAGGUGGGGCUACACACGUCAUACAAUGGCUGGUACAAAGGGUUGCCAACCGCGAGGGGGAGCCAAUCCCAUAAAGCCAGUCGUAGUCCGGAUCGCAGUCUGCAACUCGACUGCGUGAAGUCGGAAUCGCUAGUAAUCGUGGAUCAGCAUGUCACGGUGAAUACGUUCCCGGGUCUU